ACGGGAGGCAGCAGUAGGGAAUAUUGGGCAAUGGAGGCAACUCUGACCCAGCCAUGCCGCGUGAAGGAAGACGGCCCUAUGGGUUGUAAACUUCUUUUAUCGUAGAGUAAACCUGCCCACGUGUGGGCAGUUGAGAGUAUACGAGGAAUAAGUAUCGGCUAACUCCGUGCCAGCAGCCGCGGUAAUACGGGGGAUACGAGCGUUAUCCGGAUUUAUUGGGUUUAAAGGGAGCGUAGGCCGUGCUUUAAGCGUGUUGUGAAAUGUAGGCGCCCAACGUCUGCACUGCAGCGCGAACUGGAGCACUUGAGUACGCAGGAAGUAGGCGGAAUUCGUCGUGUAGCGGUGAAAUGCUUAGAUAUGACGAAGAACUCCGAUUGGGAAGCCAGCUUACUGUAGCGCCACUGACGCUGAUGCUCGAAAGCGUGGGUAUCGAACAGGAUUAGAUACCCUGGUA
rnacentral:rRNA from 1 species